GGUUGUGGCUCAGUGGUAGAGCACUUGACUGGCACAUGUGAGGCACUGGGUUCGAUUCUCAGCACCA
rnacentral:tRNA from 1 species